ACGGGAGACACACGGCGGGUGCUAACGUCCGUCGUGAAGAGGGAAACAACCCAGACCGCCAGCUAAGGUCCCAAAGUCAUGGUUAAGUGGGAAACGAUGUGGGAAGGCCCAGACAGCCAGGAUGUUGGCUUAGAAGCAGCCAUCAUUUAAAGAAAGCGUAAUAGCUCACUGGUCGAGUCGGCCUGCGCGGAAGAUGUAACGGGGCUAAACCAUGCACCGAAGCUGCGGCAGCGACGCUUAUGCGUUGUUGGGUAGGGGAGCGUUCUGUAAGCCUGCGAAGGUGUGCUGUGAGGCAUGCUGGAGGUAUCAGAAGUGCGAAUGCUGACAUAAGUAACGAUAAAGCGGGUGAAAAGCCCGCUCGCCGGAAGACCAAGGGUUCCUGUCCAACGUUAAUCGGGGCAGGGUGAGUCGACCCCUAAGGCGAGGCCGAAAGGCGUAGUCGAUGGGAAACAGGUUAAUAUUCCUGUACUUGGUGUUACUGCGAAGGGGGGACGGAGAAGGCUAUGUUGGCCGGGCGACGGUUGUCCCGGUUUAAGCGUGUAGGCUGGUUUUCCAGGCAAAUCCGGAAAAUCAAGGCUGAGGCGUGAUGACGAGGCACUACGGUGCUGAAGCAACAAAUGCCCUGCUUCCAGGAAAAGCCUCUAAGCAUCAGGUAACAUCAAAUCGUACCCCAAACCGACACAGGUGGUCAGGUAGAGAAUACCAAGGCGCUUGAGAGAACUCGGGUGAAGGAACUAGGCAAAAUGGUGCCGUAACUUCGGGAGAAGGCACGCUGAUAUGUAGGUGAAGUCCCUCGCGGAUGGAGCUGAAAUCAGUCGAAGAUACCAGCUGGCUGCAACUGUUUAUUAAAAACACAGCACUGUGCAAACACGAAAGUGGACGUAUACGGUGUGACGCCUGCCCGGUGCCGGAAGGUUAAUUGAUGGGGUUAGCGCAAGCGAAGCUCUUGAUCGAAGCCCCGGUAAACGGCGGCCGUAACUAUAACGGUCCUAAGGUAGCGAAAUUCCUUGUCGGGUAAGUUCCGACCUGCACGAAUGGCGUAAUGAUGGCCAGGCUGUCUCCACCCGAGACUCAGUGAAAUUGAACUCGCUGUGAAGAUGCAGUGUACCCGCGGCAAGACGGAAAGACCCCGUGAACCUUUACUAUAGCUUGACACUGAACAUUGAGCCUUGAUGUGUAGGAUAGGUGGGAGGCUUUGAAGUGUGGACGCCAGUCUGCAUGGAGCCGACCUUGAAAUACCACCCUUUAAUGUUUGAUGUUCUAACGUUGACCCGUGAUCCGGGUUGCGGACAGUGUCUGGUGGGUAGUUUGACUGGGGCGGUCUCCUCCUAAAGAGUAACGGAGGAGCACGAAGGUUGGCUAAUCCUGGUCGGACAUCAGGAGGUUAGUGCAAUGGCAUAAGCCAGCUUGACUGCGAGCGUGACGGCGCGAGCAGGUGCGAAAGCAGGUCAUAGUGAUCCGGUGGUUCUGAAUGGAAGGGCCAUCGCUCAACGGAUAAAAGGUACUCCGGGGAUAACAGGCUGAUACCGCCCAAGAGUUCAUAUCGACGGCGGUGUUUGGCACCUCGAUGUCGGCUCAUCACAUCCUGGGGCUGAAGUAGGUCCCAAGGGUAUGGCUGUUCGCCAUUUAAAGUGGUACGCGAGCUGGGUUUAGAACGUCGUGAGACAGUUCGGUCCCUA
rnacentral:rRNA from 1 species